rnacentral:lncRNA from 1 species
GUGUGCUGUUGUAAAACUUGUUUGUUGCUUGUCUUACAUUUUUGCAAUGUUCUUUGUUUUAUGCCUUUUAAUGUUUCUUUGUUACAUUUAUGACUUGGUUCUGUAUUUAUACCUCCCAUCAUUGUGUUAUUGGACUAUGGUAGAUUUGUGUAUUCUUGUCUUUAAUUUUUGCUAAUAUGCUUGGUAUAUGAGCCGUUUUGUGCUUCUUUGUUUGUUUGUUUAGUGAUUAAGAUUAUAACAUAAUGUUGACUGCCUUAUUUUAAACAUUUUUACCUAUU